AUACAGAGGGUGCGAGCGUUAAUCGGAGUUACUGGGCGUAAAGGGCGCGUAGGCGGAUGAUUAAGUCAGUUGUGAAAUCCCAGGGCUUAACCUUGGAACUGCAAUUGAUACUGAUUGACUAGAGUCGAAGAGAGGGAAGCGGAAUUUCCGGUGUAGCGGUGAAAUGCGUAGAUAUCGGAAGGAACACCCGUGGCGAAGGCGGCCUCCUGGCUUCAGACUGACGCUGAGGUGCGAAAGCGUGGGGAGCGAACAGGAUUAGAAACCCUAGUAGUCC
rnacentral:rRNA from 1 species